CCAGCAGCUGCGGUAAUUCCAGCUCCAAUAGCGUCUAUUAAAGUUGUUGCAGUUAAAAAGCUCGUAGUUGGAUUUCUGGCUCUGGGGGCGCGGUCCACCUCACGGUGAGCACUGUUUCUUGCCUCUGGGCUAUUCUCUUGGUUUGGGGCGGUGGCCUUGAUUGGUUGCUGUUUCUGGGCAAGACCUUUACUUUGAAAAAAUUAGAGUGUUCAAAGCAGGCGUUCAGCUUGAAUACAUUAGCAUGGAAUAAUGGAAUAGGACUUUGGUUCUAUUUUGUUGGUUUCUAGGACCGAAGUAAUGAUUAAUAGGGACAGUUGGGGGCAUUAGUAUUUAAUUGUCAGAGGUGAAAUUCUUGGAUUUAUGAAAGACUAACUACUGCGAAAGCAUUUGCCAAGGAUGUUUUCAU
rnacentral:rRNA from 1 species